AAAGAAAAUAACAAUGAUUCCCUCAGUAACGGCGAGCGAAGAGGGAUAAGCUCAAAUUUUAAAUCUGUUGGGUUCCACUUAACAGAGUUGUAUUUUGAAGAAACGUUUUCUGCAUCCAGGAUUAGCCUAAAUCCUUUGGGAUAAGGUAUCAUGGAGGGUGAGAAUCCCGUUCAUGGUUAAUCUUAAGGAAGCUCUACGAUACGUUUUCCAAGAGUCGAGUUGUUUGGGAUUGCAGCUCAAAAUGGGAGGUAAAUUUCUCCUAAGGCUAAAUAUUGGCGAGAGACCGAUAGCGAACAAGUACCGUGAGGGAAAGAUGAAAAGAACUUUGAAAAGAGAGUUAGACAGUACGUGAAAUUGUUGAAAGGGAAACGAUUGAAG
rnacentral:rRNA from 1 species